rnacentral:lncRNA from 1 species
AACAUAGUGCACCCCAUCCUACUAAAUUUCAAUACUUUGCUUUAACACUAACCAGUUGUUACAGAAGAUUGAAAUAGAAGAGGAAGCUCUCACCCACACCAGUCAAGAAGGAUGGGGAGAUACUGCAGUUUGCUGCUCCCCUCAGGCCACGAAGAGGAUGAACGGGCUCUAUCUUGGCUAUCAGCAGAGAAAGAACAGCUGCACUCCUCCCUGCACCUUCUGUAGAGGAGAAACUUUUGGAAGUGCUUCCUCUUAAUUAUUCUAUGAGUGUACAUCAAUCAUACUAACUGAGAAUCUCUCACUACAAAGAGACUUUGGAUGUUACUUUAGCUCCACCCUCACUUUCCUUGAACAGCCCUGAGAAUAAGAAUGCCAGGCUGCUGGUGGAAAAGAAAUUGUACAGCAAAUAACUUCUAAGGACUUGAAAUGGCCUUAGAUAUUGAGGGAGGGGACCCUGGGCACAUGGACCACUUCAUCCCAGGUAGCAAGGGGACUCUGAUCCUGAAUAUCAUCCCCAUUACUCCUGGAUUCCACAAAAGUCACUCCACAGAACAGAAAUUCUGGCUUUGGACCAACUCUACUCAUAACCAAUAGCUUCCAAGGAGAGUGGCUGCCCGAACAUUAGCCAGGAUGACUCUCAGGCCCAUUGAAAACUUAAGUGUGAAUGGUGGGCACAGCUAUCUGAUAUUGGUUGGCCACCUCCCUCAAACUGGCCUACCAGG